AUUGAACGCUGGCGGCAGGCCUAACACAUGCAAGUCGAGCGAGCGGCGGACGGGUGAGGAAUGUCUGGGAACCUGCCUGAUGGAGGGGGAUAACGAAUGGAAACGGUAGUUAAGCACGCAUCCAAUCAGAUGUGCCAAGAUGGGAUUAGCUAGUAGGUGGGGUAAUUGCCAACCUGGUCGACGAUCCCUAGCUGGUCUGAGAGGAUGACCAGCCACACUGGAACUGAGACACGGUCCAGACUCCUACGGGAGGCAGCAGUGGGGAAUAUUGCACAAUGGGCGCAAGCCUGAUGCAGCCAUGCCGCGUGUAUGAAGAAGGCCUUCGGGUUGUAAAGUACUUUCAGUGAGGAGGCGUUACUCGCAGAAGAAGCACCGGCUAACUCCGUGCCAGCAGCCGCGGUAAUAC
rnacentral:rRNA from 1 species